AGGUCGGUGGUCUAGGGGUAUGAUUCUCGCUUAGGGUGCGAGAGGUCCCGGGUUCAAUUCCCGGUCGAGCCCA
rnacentral:tRNA from 1 species